rnacentral:rRNA from 1 species
GACGAACGCUGGCGGCGUGCUUUCACAUGCAAGUCGAACGGAAAGGCCCUGCUUUUGUGGGGUGCUCGAGUGGCGAACGGGUGAGUAACACGUGAGUAACCUGCCCUUGACUUUGGGAUAACUUCAGGAAACUGGGGCUAAUACCGGAUAGGAGCUCCUGCUGCAUGGUGGGGGUUGGAAAGUUUCGGCGGUUGGGGAUGGACUCGCGGCUUAUCAGCUUGUUGGUGGGGUAGUGGCUUACCAAGGCUUUGACGGGUAGCCGGCCUGAGAGGGUGACCGGCCACAUUGGGACUGAGAUACGGCCCAGACUCCUACGGGAGGCAGCAGUGGGGAAUAUUGCACAAUGGGCGGAAGCCUGAUGCAGCAACGCCGCGUGCGGGAUGACGGCCUUCGGGUUGUAAACCGCUUUCGCCUGUGACGAAGCGUGAGUGACGGUAAUGGGUAAAGAAGCACCGGCUAACUACGUGCCAGCAGCCGCGGUGAUACGUAGGGUGCGAGCGUUGUCCGGAUUUAUUGGGCGUAAAGGGCUCGUAGGUGGUUGAUCGCGUCGGAAGUGUAAUCUUGGGGCUUAACCCUGAGCGUGCUUUCGAUACGGGUUGACUUGAGGAAGGUAGGGGAGAAUGGAAUUCCUGGUGGAGCGGUGGAAUGCGCAGAUAUCAGGAGGAACACCAGUGGCGAAGGCGGUUCUCUGGGCCUUUCCUGACGCUGAGGAGCGAAAGCGUGGGGAGCGAACAGGCUUAGAUACCCUGGUAGUCCACGCUGUAAACGGUGGGUACUAGGUGUGGGGUCCAUUCCACGGGUUCCGUGCCGUAGCUAACGCUUUAAGUACCCCGCCUGGGGAGUACGGCCGCAAGGCUAAAACUCAAAGGAAUUGACGGGGCCCCGCACAAGCGGCGGAGCAUGCGGAUUAAUUCGAUGCAACGCGUAGAACCUUACCUGGGUUUGACAUGGAUCGGGAGUGCUCAGAGAUGGGUGUGCCUCUUUUGGGGUCGGUUCACAGGUGGUGCAUGGCUGUCGUCAGCUCGUGUCGUGAGAUGUUGGGUUAAGUCCCGCAACGAGCGCAACCCUUGUUCACUGUUGCCAGCACGUUAUGGUGGGGACUCAGUGGAGACCGCCGGGGUCAACUCGGAGGAAGGUGGGGAUGACGUCAAGUCAUCAUGCCCCUUAUGUCCAGGGCUUCACGCAUGCUACAAUGGCUGGUACAGAGAGUGGCGAGCCUGUGAGGGUGAGCGAAUCUCGGAAAGCCGGUCUCAGUUCGGAUUGGGGUCUGCAACUCGACCUCAUGAAGUCGGAGUCGCUAGUAAUCGCAGAUCAGCAACGCUGCGGUGAAUACGUUCCCGGGGCU